rnacentral:lncRNA from 1 species
GAUGCCCAGUGAGGGACAAAGCCAAGAGAGGGGGGACAGACAGAUGGAAAGACGGACACGGGGAGCUCUGGGGAGCAGGCGGCCCCCACCCCCACUUCCAGCUCUGAGACAUUUGUGCACAGGCCUGCAGGCGGCUGGGAUGGCCUGGCCGGGCACGCUCUGGAGACACACAUGCCAAGGCAGGGCCUGGGCAGCCGAGGGCCCGUGGGGGCUGUUCCGACCACACAGGUGCCCGAGGGAGGCAGGGCAGGCCCCGGUGGGACCCAGCCCCGAAACGCAGGGUGUCGCCCACGUUUGCAGCCGCGCUCGCGUGUCGGUGGAUGAGCGGGAACCGGGGGGCGGCGCCUACGCAAUGCACGUUACGCCGCGGUGGAAGGGGUGUCACCGCCACAGCGGCCGCACCGUGCGUGGCUCUGUUUCCUGGAAACGUCCAGAACAGGCAGCCCCCGAGACAGGGAGGGGCCCAGCGGUCGCCAGGGGAAGUGGGGAUGGGAAUGAGUGCGGAUGGGGCUGAGGUUCUUCCUGAAGGAUGAAUGCUCUGAAACUGUGAAUAGACACACGGAACUGUGCACGUUCACGGGUGAACCGUGUGGGGAGUGAAUCCAUCUCAACAGAGCUGUUACACAGUGAACAAGAGCACGAGGGGUGGAGGCCGCUUGUCUGCUCCUGCAGAUCGAGCCGGCUGCUCAGAGCCGGGAGAUGGCCACUCAGCUCCUUUAACUGCCCGGCCAGCUGCGCCACGGAUGCCUCCAGAGCCCGGCUCUUCUCUCGGAGCUGCAGGGGACAGGUGGGCACGGGGAGGCCUGGCUGAGCGCCCAUCCCGUGUGCGUGGGAGACCCCGUUGGGGACAUGUUGCGCUACCCCCUCACCAGCACCAGCUCUCCAUGCAUCUCCUGCCGGGCCAGCUCGCCAGCCAGCUGUGCGGCCUCCAGGUUCUCCUGCACAUAGGCGGCCAGCUCCCCAGCCCGGCUUUCCUCCAAGCGCCCCUUGGCGUCCCUAGGGGUUGGGGACACAUAGACACCCUCAGUGGAGCCUGCCCACCUCUCAGCCCUGGGCCAGGGAGGGGAGCUUGGCUGCUGGCUCCAGAACCUCCCAGGAGACCCUGGGAUCGGAAGAUGGGGUGCGGUCACAGUGCCACCAACACGGGUUCACUCCCCAUGGCCACCAAGAUGGGCGUUCACUCCCCACGGCCACCAAGACAGGGGUUCCCUCCCCAUGGCCACAGCUGAGUGCCCCAGGGAGGGCAGGCUGGGUGAGGGACAGGAGGCCCCACAGGAGGGAGGAGGGUUCGCACCAUCCAGCUGCAGCCCUCGGGGUCGAGCACUCUGCUCGGGGGAGGCAAGGUCAUUCCCUGCUGAGUCGGCCACUGCGGCCCCCUCCUGAGUGGGACAUCAGGGGUCCCCCCGCCUGACAGCACCUGAGGCCCCAUGCACGGGGAGCCAGGUGGGCUGGGCAGAGCCUUGGGGCCUUGUCUCCACACCAACAGCUGCUUUCCUGCCGCCCUGAAGGGGAGGGGAGGGGGGAGGCGCAGCCGGCCCCAUCCCUGCAUCUCAUACACGCAAAGGGUAGGCAGGCGGCACAGGCCCUUCAUCAGCCACGGAGAGGCGCCUCCCGGGAAACUUCCCCUCCACCCAAGCCCCUGCUGGCCUCCUGCCCCCCAGGAGGUCACCUUAGAGUAGAUAUUUUUCUGUAAAAAGCCAGAUGGUACAUGUUCCCACCUCAUGGGAUCUCUGUUGUAACCCUCUCAGCAUGGCGGUUACAGCCCCCACAGUAGACAUUGACAACAUGUAAAAAAUGUUCCUGUGUGCCAAUAAAACUUUAUUUACAAAAACAAAAAAAAAAAAAAAAAA